GGUGUUGAUGACGCUGAGGGUCCACCUGUUCCCAUACCGAACACAGAAGUUAAGCUCAGUGGUGCCGAAAAUACUUGGCUGGUGACGGCCCGGGAAGAUAGGGAGAUGCCA
rnacentral:rRNA from 1 species